CUUGUGCGUGUUCAACAUCUUUUACGGCGUAUUUCAUGGUGACUGUUCUGUAAUCUGUGCCCACAGCUGUGUGUGUGAACGAGACCUGUGACUGUUGUAUAUUGUGGUGCUGUCUCUUUAAAACGUGUCAUGCUGCCAUGUCCUCCCCUUGCCAGGGAGCUCUCACGUGAGGCAGAGACACUCGGCGGCUGCCUGCUCCGUCUGCAGGAGCCAUCUUGUUAUGUCUGUAGUAAAAAGGUACAUGUGUCUGGUCUCACUCUGGCUUCCUGCAGUACUCGGGCUGCAGCGCGCUCACAAAGACAGUGACACCCGCAGCUGCGGCUGUGCAAGCAGCGCUGUCUGGCGUUAGCAGUGACCCCAGGCUGCAGGAAGUAGCUGUUUUUGCCAGGACACAGCGUGUCAGUAAAUGGUGCAAACUGCAACACACACAGACAAGAAGCUGCAAUGCACAAACCAGCAGAAACCAAACAGAAGGCACAGAGAAUAAAGACACAACAAUCCUGAGAUACAAGAUCGUCGUGCCCCAAAAGACAUCUGGGUUCAAUCUCUCUCUGCAGACAUUGAAUGCUUCCUGCACAGCAGCCUUGCAGCAAAGUUUGAUCUGCUCCUUUCAGACAAGUCACUUCCCACCAUUGCCCCAGCUCCCUGAAUGACAAGAACCAGCCAACUGGGAAACGGGGGAGAGGAUGGUUUAAAACAGGAUUACCGAUUAUAAAUAUUGUUACAAAUCUGGAGCACCCAAGGACUUCCCUGUUGUCACUCUGCUGAACUGCAUGGCCUCUCAGGGCUGCACUAUGACUGUGUGCAUAGGACUUGGCUUCUCCUACCCCAAAAACCUGGGCCUCAAUGACUGGAGUAAAAGGAGAUUCUCCACUAGAUGUUAGCAGUAUAGAGCCUGUGAUACACAACUAAGCAUUUCUGAUUCAUCCAACAAUGCCCUGCAGUGCAUAUAUAUACUAAAUAGCUGGGUACAGUGUUAGUGCUGUUUUAUAAUGGGGAUGAUUCACCUUUACUCCCUGCAGCCCUUUAGCCCUCCCUGGGCUCAGUCGUUAAAUAGUCCCAGCCCUGGUAUGGGGCCAUAUCCCCAGCGCUUCGUCCCUGGAGAUAUGACCUUCCUACGGCCGGGCUCAGUCCCAGCAUCUAGCCAGGAGCUCCUUCUUUGCUCCCCCGGUCCCUACUAGCAAAUUGUCUUUGGCUCAGUCCUGGCAGCCAGCCAGGAGCCUCUCGCUGCCCCAGUCCCUUCCCUCACUUAGCUGUCUGUGCGCCUGCUGCUCUUCAGCCAGGCACACACUCCUUUCUUUUCCAGCUCCAAACAGCAAUUAACUGCUGAUCUGUUCUACAGCUCCUUUUAUAUGGCCCUCCUGGCCUCUGAUUGGCUGUUCUAGCAGCCCCGCUGAUUGAUUGCUUCCGCGCAACCACUCUAAGCCGCUUGGAGGCUCUCUCCACAGCUCCUUUCCUGGGAUGGGUGUGGCAAACCCUGAGGCCUCCAGCAGGGGGCCUUGGGCCUAGUCCAACCCAUCACAAGCCCCCAGAUAACAAAGUCCAAUAAUUUUGGAUCAUGUCCCUGUACUGUGGUCCUAGUGAAACACUUGAAACAUUAGCUCCCUCACUCUG
ensembl:lncRNA